rnacentral:rRNA from 1 species
AAUCGCGGAUCAGCCACGCCGCGGUGAAUGUGUUCCUGAGCCUUGUACACACCGCCCGUCAAGUCAUGGGAGUUGGGAGUACCCGAAGUCCGCUUAGCUAACCGAAAGGAGGCGGCGGCCGACGGUAAGCCCGAUGACUAGGACUAAGUCGUAACAAGGUAGCCGUAGGGGAACCUGCGGCUGGAUCACCUCCUUU